rnacentral:rRNA from 1 species
UACGUAGGGUGCGAGCGUUAAUCGGAAUUACUGGGCGUAAAGCGUGCGCAGGCGGUUCGCUAAGACCGAUGUGAAAUCCCCGGGCUUAACCUGGGAACUGCAUUGGUGACUGGCGGGCUAGAGUGUGGCAGAGGGGGGUAGAAUUCCACGUGUAGCAGUGAAAUGCGUAGAGAUGUGGAGGAACACCGAUGGCGAAGGCAGCCCCCUGGGCUGAGAUUGACGCUCAGGCACGAAAGCGUGGGGAGCAAACAGG